rnacentral:rRNA from 1 species
GACGAACGCUGGCGGCGUGCCUAAUACAUGCAAGUCGAACGCACUCGGCCUUCGGGCCACAUGAGUGAGUGGCGAACGGGUGAGUAACACGUGAGGAACCUACCCCGAAGACGGGAAUAACCCGGGGAAACCCGGGCUAAUACCCGAUACCUUCCAUCGGUCGCAUGGCCGGUGGAAGAAAUGUUCCGGCGCUUCGGGAUGGCCUCGCGGCCUAUCAGCUAGUUGGUGAGGUAACGGCUCACCAAGCCAUUGACGCGUAGCUGGUGUGAGAGCACGACCAGCCAGAAUGGAACUGAGACACGGUCCAUACUCCUACGGGAGGCAGCAGUGAGGAAUCUUCCGCAAUGGGCGCAAGCCUGACGGAGCCAUACCGCGUGCAGGAUGAAACCCCUCGGGGCGUAAACUGCUUUUCUGAAGGACAAAGUUCUGAUGGUACUUCAGGAAUAAGUGUCUGCUAACUACGUGCCAGCAGCCGCGGUAAUACGUAGGACACAAGCGUUAUUCGGAAUUACUGGGCGUAAAGCGAUCGAAGGCUGACCAGAAAGUUGAUUAUUAAAUACCCACGGCUUAACCGGGGUGCUGUAAUCAAAACUCCUGGACUAGAGGAGUGCAGAGGUAGCUGGAAUUCCUAUUGUAGGGGUUAAAUCCGUAGAUAAUAGGAGGAACACCGAAAGCGAAGGCAGGCUACUGGGCACUUCCUGACGCUGCGCGAUCGAAAGCGUGGGGAGCGAAACGGAUUAGAUACCCGUGUAGUCCACGCCUUAAAC